AAGCAAUUCUUUGAUUGAUGGCUCCAACAUGGAUUAAGGUCAAAAGUGGCCCUGGAGACCAAAUUCCCUAGUGAGGAACUGCCACAUAACUUCAUGUGUCUUUUGCUUCUGAAUUAUUUCUUCUAGAAACCACCAACCACAAGCUGUCACGCUGGUAUUAUAUCUACAUAACGUUUAUUCUUCUUACAGCAAAGAGCUGGAGAAAUACAAGUGAGAACCUGUUAUUACAGGUUAAAUUGUGUAACACUCAACUUGCGCUGAGGUCCAGUUUCUUUUUAUUAUGCUCCAAUUUUGUUGAAUGACUAUUGCCUAAAAUAAAUGGGCAAUCGACAGGGGCUUAGAACUAACAGGGAUGCUUAAGUGACUUUUAUGGUAGCAGUAUUUGUUGUAACAGAAUUUGAUCUGUAUUCUAGUUAUUAGUUUUAUUCAUCACAUUGGAAAGUUGGCACCUCCACUGUUCAUGCCAUUAUAUGCAAAGCACUGUAGCAUGAAAGUCACUUACAAAGCUGUGAAAAAAACUCUCUGAACACCAGAGGCUCAUGAAACAAUAAAAGUCAGCUAGGGGGAUAUACACUGUUUGAUUUAGCUAAAUAUUCUGGAUGGUCAAAGGUUUAUUCCUUUUAAUUCCUAAAAGUUUUUUUUUUUAACCAUUGGGAUGUAAAUAUUUCUAAAAUGUUUGAUAUACAUAUUUUUGUCUUCUAAGCAUAGUUUUUUUAUGUAUGGUGCACAGGGUCAUCAUUUUAAAUAGAAUAUUGUCCCAUGAUACAGUGAGGCUCUUAAAGAUUGAGAUGUGUAUAGACUGUUUUUGACACUAAAUAACCCAUAUAUCAGGGCUUUGGAGCUUUGCAGUCUACUCAAAAUUUCCAUUUUCUCUAUUGCUGUCCUCCUUUUUCCUUCUUGUUUCCUCUAAAAGUCUGUUUCUUUCCUUUACAGUUAGAAAUAUGUGUGAAGGAAGAGCAAAUAGGUUCUGAGGAGGUGCCUGAUGACUAGAUGUAUGGCCUUUGUCUUAUGCGUUUGCUUCAUGGUAUUUAUUUCAAUUGGUUGGAAGCCUUGUUUGCUUACUUCUUAAUUCUCAGUCACUUUUGAUGGGUUCAGCAGAGGUUCUAGAUUUUUCUAGUUCUGUCUCAGUUACUCAUUGUCAAACCACUGGUUUAGAUUUUGUGUUCAGGAAAUAGGGAUAGGUAAAGCUAUCAGGUGGCUAAGCCCUAGGUAAAUGAGUUGCCAUGAAUCCUAAAAUAUUGUGAAGGUUGUGGGCCAUUUUUAUAAGGCAAAUGGUAUGCUGUGGCCGUGACAGCUGAACUCAGUAAGUGAACUUUAAAACAGAUAAGCUCCUUUUGCUGUUGUCCCUUUCCAAGAAUAUGAAGCUGGCCUGACGUCAAGAUUCUAACGCUAUAGCAAAAGAAGACAUGGUUUUGCCUCUCGUUGAUUUUCUUAUUUAUGGCCUUGGAAUAAAGAAGAUAAAGCAAGUCUAACAGUUCUCCCUUCCAAAAGUACAGUUUCAGGCCAGAAGAUUUGACUGCUACCCUUAGACUUUCUUUCCCUCACUGUACAUUGCAUUUUACAGGCUAUACAAAGCAAGACCUUCUUUGCAAAAGGCAAACUCCUUUGCCCCAAGGCCAUACUGUACAUGUGUGGGGGUAGUUGUAGGGGGAUCAGUGUUGUUAUUCACCAAUACAAGAUGGAAUCAGUGCAGCUAGGAGAGAAGAGAUUAAGGAAAGAGGCUGUGAAGUCUGCUAGACCUGGGUUUAAAUUCUGGCUUCCCGCUUAUUAGGGUGUAACCGUGGUCACAGUACUUAAUUCUCUAAAUUUGAUUCCUGAGCAACAAAGUGGGGAAUGAUAGUAUUGGUGCUGUUACUAUUAUGAUAAUGUGAAAAACAACAGGAGAGUACCUGGCCCAGAGAAAGAGCUAAGUGACAGCUCUUAUUAACAUAAAUGAAUGAUUUAAACCUGGAGAUUACAAUAGUUAACAAGCACAGACACUUAGUGCAGUCUGUUACUGACUUCAAGCAGUCUUUUGCUUUUGUUUCUAUUUCUGUGACAUCUUCUCUUAUUACGACUUUCUGUUGGGUGUCUCUAACUCUGGUGCCUUGUGAAGGCCAGGAGAUAUUCCAGACAAGCUGAAAUUCUACCUUUUUAUGAGUAUAAAGGAAAUGGGGCCAUGUUGGACCAAACAAAGAGUAAUAAAAUAAAAUAUAGAGUUGUAGCUUUCAGAGGGAAAGAUAAAACAAGAAAGGGCUGGGGCAAUGGAUGUGGUGUUGAGAUACUGGCACCAGGAAGCAGGGAAGAAAACCUCCAAACACAUUGUGGUUUGUUAAAACACUGAAGACUCCUAAGUGCUACAGUGGCAGGCAGUGCCACCCCACCAGGCAGCAGUGUCCUCCGCAACUGGGGAAGAGGAAGUAGGGCCUAAUGAUUGCUCUCGGAGACAGAGAGUCUGCUGUCCUGGGCUUUACCAGCCUGGCUUGUUGGGUGACCUUGAGUGACUUAUCUCCCUCUCUUGGACAAUUUUCUCAAGGUUCUCACACAGUCCCUAGCUAACUAAAAGGGUCUGAUGAAGAUAAAUGUGUUAAAAGAAAAUUUAGAGGAGAGUCCACAAACUGUCCCUCCAGAUACACCUGCUGGUGGGUUUUAGGAUUUUUAAACAUUAAAUUUUAAUGCAUUUAGGCAGGGCUUGGUAUUUUCUAAUUCACACAGUAUCUACCAUCUUGAGUCUUCACAUUUGGCUCCUGAAGGCCUCUGAGUAUAUGACUUCUGAUUUCAAUGCAACCUCUGGUCCUUCAAACCAGCUUGGAAUUGCUUCAUUUACAACUCAUUCUAUGUUUUCAUCAAUUACAUGCAAAUAUGUAUUUCUAAAGUUUCACAAAACAAAGAUUUUGUUGGCCUAACUGUAAUUUGCUCUAAAAGACAUUUUUUUUUCUAGAAAAUAUGGCAAAAAUUACAAUUUUACCUUCCUUCUAGUUCAUCCAAAUUCUAAAACUUUAAUGUUAUUUGAAAACAUAAUUUGGCACCAAGUAUUCUUUAGGUUAUAAUCUAAGUUGCUCAUAAAAUGUAAUCUAGGCCUGGAUCAUUUUACUUUGAGGAGAAAACUUAUCACUAAAUAAUAAUGAUCUUAAGUCUGUUCUUUUGCCACUUCCCAGAGCUCUCUCCUAAGGCACUGUGGAAAAGUCAGGAGUAAAUUAGACUCCCACAUCUAGUAACCAAAACACCAUCAUCUCCAGCAUUACCACAGUCAAGUAUGCAGCUCGUCAUAAAUAUUUACACCUUGCAGGGUCCUUUGUGCACAACUCUGAGAGACAAAUGGCAUUUCCAGUAAUAGUUUAUUGAUUUCCAAAUGCACAGGGGCACCAAGUCCGAACAUCCUGGGAUAGCAGUAAAUCUCUCUUACAAAAUAAUUUACAGUAUGAAAAUGAUAUACUGAAACAUUAACCCAAACGUGUAAUUCCCUUGAAAGAUUCAGUGUUCCCUUGUUUAAUGUAAAGGGUGGAAGGGGAAGAUUCCUAAGGAGGGAAUGUGACUGUGCACAGGAAAAUAGGCAGAGGACAAUGGAUUCAUUGGUUCUCCCCAUUCAUGCAGUGUGGCCUGUCACUGUAGAAAGACUGGUCAGGUUUAACCCUCAUUAAGUAUUAAUCUGCUGUCCCCUCAAAGUCAUAUCAAGCCCAGUAUGGGCUCCGUGGCUUUUUUUGCACCAAUGUAUCCAUAAGUGUCUCCACUUAUUUUCAUUUUUCUGCUCUGGCCCUCGUUCUGCUGUUUCUGGUAUGUUCUCAGUUCCAAAUUAUACUAUCUUAUCUUACCAGGCAGGCCUCCAGAAUCAAGAACUGCCUGAGUCUUAUGGUUUCUGGAAUGGGACAGGGUAGGGGGCUUCAUAAGCACUGCUGGAUAAAGGCAAUAAUAAUGAGACUGAAGUCUCCCAUAUGGGCCUUCUUUUUCUCUUAGAGCUGGGCUGGACUCAAUCCAUAAUGAGAUUUUUUUAAACAUAAAAAUCUGAUGUGAUCAGCACACAGUAAACGUGCAGUUAAUUUUCUUAUUGAGAAGCAUGUAUUGCACAGCCAUUAUAUGAAUGUGGAAUUUCAGGAAUGGCAAGAGAAUAUUUUCUACUUGGGGAGAGAGGACUUCCUAGACCCUGCCACAACUACAAGGUCAUCAGUGCCUUAGGAGCUAAUGACCUUUGCUAGGGAAUUGCUCUUCCUGUAAGCAAGUACCUAAGCCCCAACUAUAUGGUGACACUUGUAAUUAGGGCUGACAGAAAUCUUUGAAGUAGUACGCAAGAUAAUGAAGGGGCUGCUUUGAGUUUUCCUUAGCUCUCAAAUAUUGUGUGUGUGUGUGCGGACAUGUAUGUAUGUAUUUUCAAAUAAAGUUGAGUAGAGAGCAGAACACCCUUCACUUUUACUACUGCUGCAAAGUUCUAUAUCUUUGAAGGCCAAGAAACACCUUAUUUAUGGAAGAUGGCAUGAAAAAGGAAAUGUUCUCCUAACUCCUGGGGGUGGACCAUGGUGUGUGGUACAAAGUGCCUGUCCACAGAAUUAGGGGGAGCUGCGUUCAAGAUUUGGCUUGAGUAUUUCCUAGCUGUAUAACUUGAAGCAAAUGACUCUUCCACUCCCCAUCUGUUUUAUUAUCUAAGAGACAGCUCAGGGCCUGGCUCAUAGUUGUUCCUUAAUACAAGUUAUUUCCCUUCUUGGGCUGUCAGAGCCGAGACUCCAAGCACUUCUUGGGACUGUCCUGGAUUUAAUGAUAUCAAAUCAAAGUCCCUCUCAGCAUCCAGAAAUUCAACAUUUGAAAGAUAGCCAGAAAUUGCUAUGAGUAUCCGACUGAUUCUGGAAACAUUCAUUACCUGCCUCCCUUGGUGACUUCUCUUUAGGGGUUUCAGCAAACCCUGCCACCUGCACCCAGGCAAGACCCAAUUCUGAGCUCUCUAACUUUUACUGACCUGGCAGGAGGGAAGCCUCAUCAUGCUGGGGCUUAAGGCCAAGCAGCAUGCUCCAGCUCUAGGGGAAGGUACUGAAGACAGCAGGAGUCUAUAAAGCAAAUCUGAAACGCUUUCUAAGUAAAAGCAAAAGUGCUUUCCUUGAGGAUCACAGAGAUAUGAUAAGUUACUGAGACAGGUUGGCAAAUAUUUUUAUAUUUCCAUUUAUAUCCACUGCAUAAAUGCUUGAAUUUCCCAAAUACUGAUUCAAAGUAGUAACAUAUGAUCAGAUAUGGAGAACCAAUGAUCUGUCUAUUGCUAAUAUAAGGCUACUAUUUGGAGAUCAAACAAUGAUUAUUGGGGAAAGACAAUACAAGCUUCCAAAUCCUAAAAUCUUUUUAAUCUUCUGAUACUUAAAUUUUUUCGAGAGUGGCCACUGGUCCUUCUUUUAGGGUACUUUUGUUGGAUAUGAUUGGUGGUUGUAAUUAAUGGUAUGCCAAAUUCUCCAGUCUUUGCAGAGAUAGGUAAAGCACCAAAAUUGUCCUAGCCAUUUCUUGGCCAUCAGUUUGAGAGAAAAAUGCUUUUUUUUUUUUUUUUUUAACACCUCAAACUCCCCUCAGCCCCAAUCAUAAAGGUAGAGGAGAGUGAAC
rnacentral:lncRNA from 1 species